AUUCCUCGGCCUAGUGGUCAAAGCGUCUGCCUCUGAUGCUGGACAUCGCGAGUUCGAACCCCGGCCGAGCUAUA